rnacentral:tRNA from 1 species
GCGGGCGUAGCCAAGUGGUAAGGCAAUGGGUUGUGGUUCCAUCAUGCGCGGGUUCGAACCCCGUCGUUCGCC